rnacentral:rRNA from 1 species
GUGUCAGCCGCCGCGGUAAUACGGAGGGGGCCAGCGUUGUUCGGAAUCAUUGGGCGUAAAGGGCGCGUAGGUGGCCGCGCAAGUCGGAGGUGAAAUCCCUCGGCCCAACCGAGGAACUGCCUCUGAAACUGCGCGGCUCGAGUCCCGGAGAGGGCAGUGGAAUUCCCAGUGUAGCGGUGAAAUGCGUAGAUAUUGGGAGGAACACCGGUGGCGAAGGCGGCUGCCUGGACGGGUACUGACGCUGAUGCGCGAAAGCGUGGGGAGCAAACAGGAUUAGAUACCCCUGUAGUCC